rnacentral:rRNA from 1 species
AUUGAACGCUGGCGGCAGGCUUAACACAUGCAAGUCGAGCGGGGUGAUGGUGCUUGCACUAUCACUUAGCGGCGGACGGGUGAGUAAUGCUUAGGAAUCUGCCGAUUAGUGGGGGACAACAUCUCGAAAGGGAUGCUAAUACCGCAUACGUCCUACGGGAGAAAGCAGGGGAUCACUUGUGACCUUGAGCUAAUAGAUGAGCCUAAGUCGGAUUAGCUAGUUGGUGGGGUAAAGGCCUACCAAGGCGACGAUCUGUAGCGGGUCUGCGAGGAUGAUCCUGCACGCUGGGACUGAGACACUGCCCAGACUCCUACGGGAGGCAGCAGUGGGGAAUAUUGGAGAAUGGGGUGAACCCUGAUCCAGCCAUGCCGCGUGUGUGAAGAAGGCCUUAUGGUUGUAAAGCACUUUAAGCGAGGAGGAGGCUCUUUUGGUUAAUACCCAAGAUGAGUGGACGUUACUCGCAGAAUAAGCACCGGCUAACUCUGUGCCAGCCGCCGCAGUAA